rnacentral:rRNA from 1 species
UACGGAGGGGGCUAGCGUUGUUCGGAAUUACUGGGCGUAAAGCGCACGUAGGCGGACUGUUAAGUCGGGGGUGAAAUCCUGGGGCUCAACCUCAGAAUUGCCUCCGAUACUGGCAGUCUCGAGUGCGGGAGAGGUGAGUGGAAUUCCUAGUGUAGAGGUGAAAUUCGUAGAUAUUAGGAAGAACACCAGUGGCGAAGGCGGCUCACUGGUCCGGUACUGACGCUGAGGUGCGAAAGCGUGGGGAGCAAACAGG